UAGAUACAUAAACUGAUUACUGAAGACUAAAAAUGACUUCCAACAAACCGGAAGUGACCAAUUAUCUCCCAUUCUAAAUACAAAAGUAUAUAGAAACUAUAUAUUUUUGGAAUCAGUGUGAAAGAAGCUAUCAUAUUAGACCGGAAGUGACAUUCAUUUCACCGGAAGUAGCAUAUUAUCUCCUUUAUAUCACUUAAAAAUAUGAUUAAACCAUUAUUUAUCGUAUCAGUAUGAACAACUAUCUUCUUAUCAAAAUUUCUUUGAUGUGGAAAGACCUUCAAUUGUUCUCUGAACAAUUGGUUUUUAAUUAUUUUUUUUUUUUUUCUUCCGCCAAAUUUUGUUCUUGCGAUAAAUGUUUGUUUCGCAAUAUGUCGCUUAGAUUUUUUUCAUAUUGUAUCGUAUAGUUUAUGCGCUUUUAAAUUUCACCCUGCUAAGCCGAACCAUUUUCUUUGUAAGAGUUAUCUCCCUAUUCACUGUUUGUCAUGUGUGUGCAUCUCCUUCGUAACAAAAUAAGAAAGCGACACAAUUCUUUUUACAAAUUGUUCGUUACAUCCUCAGGAAAUUUUGGCUUAUUUGGAUCGAAGCGAUUCGAUGAAAUUUUAUAGGAGUUAUCUAUCUUUACGGAAUAAAUUUGUCGGUAUGUUUUUUUAACUCAUAAACCAUUAACCGUAUAACCCUGGAAUGUUUUUAUUUGAGUCCCCUGAUUCCUAACUUAGAAAAUUAGGUCAAGGUCAAAGGUCAAGGUCAUAUUUUAGAUUUUCAUAUGUCUUUGAUUUCCCUAUAAUUCUUGAAUGGUUAUAGAUACAGAAAAUUUAAGCAGUGAAAAAUGUUUAGUACUUCAAGGGGCAACUUUGUUACAUUAUGACUAUAUUGGUUUUACCAUUGUGUAAGGGACAUAAUCCCCAUUGAUGGUUUAUAUAAAGCCAUUAUUUAGGCAAAACUCUUAAACAAAAGACCUUGACCCAUAGGGUCUUUUGCAAUGACAUUGUGAAGCAAUGACCUUGACAAAGGUCACAAGGUCAAAGGUCAAGGUCAUGUACAUAUGUGAUUUGGGGCACUACUUGAAGAGUUUUAUGUGUGUUUGCCUGCCAACCAACCAAUCAAUCAAUCAAUCAAUCAUGAUCAUGAUCAAUCAACCAAUAAUGAUCAUGAUCAAUCAAUCAAUCAAUCAUGUUUCCGUCUCAUGUGUUUAUCAUAGGGUUCAAGAUCUUCUUUGUUUCUUUUUCGCUGUUUCAACUGACCCUAUCCAACGUGUUUAACCAACCAACCAACUAAUCAAUCAAUCAAUCAAUCAAUCAAUCAACCAAUCAAUCAAUCGAUCAUGAUCAUGAUCAUGAUCAAUCAAUCAUGUUUCCGUCUCAUGUGUUUAAUAUAGGGUCCAAGAUGUUUGUUUCUUUUUCGCUGUUUCAAUUGACCCUAUCCAACGUGUUUAACCAAUCAACCAACCAACCAACCAACUAAUCAAUCAUUCAAUCAAUCAAUCAAUCGAUCAUGAUCAUGAUCAUGAUCAAUCAAUCAUGUUUCCGGCUCAUGUGUUUAAUAUAGGGUCCAAGAUCUUUGUUUCUUUUUCGCUGUUUCAAUUGACCCUAUCCAACGUGUUUAACCAACCAACCAACUAACCAACCAACCAACUAAUCAAUCAAUCAAUCAAUCAAUCAAUCAAUCAAUCAAUUAAUCAAUCAAUCAAUCAUGAUCA
rnacentral:lncRNA from 1 species